AACGGCUACUACAUCCAAGGAAGGCAGCAGGCGCGCAAAUUACCCAAUCCCGAUUCGGGGAGGUAGUGACAAUAAAUACUGAUAUAGGGCUCUUUUGGGUCCUGUAAUUGGAAUGAGUACAAUUUAAAUCCCUUAACGAGGAACAAUUGGAGGGCAAGUCUGGUGCCAGCAGCCGCGGUAAUUCCAGCUCCAAUAGCGUAUAUUAAAGUUGUUGAGGUUAAAAAGCUCGUAGUUGAACCUUGGGCCUGGCUGGCCGGUCCGCCUCACCGCGUGCACUGGUCCGGCCGGGCCUUUCCCUCUGUGGAACUCCAUGCCCUUCACUGGGUGUGGCAGGGAAACAGGACUUUUACUUUGAAAAAAUUAGAGUGCUCCAGGCAGGCCUUUGCUCGAAUAUAUUAGCAUGGAAUAAUAAAAUAGGAUGUGCGGUUCUAUUUUGUUGGUUUCUAGGACCGCCGUAAUGAUUAAUAGGGACAGUCGGGGGCAUCAGUAUUCCAUAGUCAGAGGUGAAAUUCUUGGAUCUAUGGAAGACUAACUACUGCGAAAGCAUUUGUCAAGGAUGUUUUCAUUAAUCAGGAACGAAAGUUAGGGGAUCGAAGACGAUCAGAUACCGUCGUAGUCUUAACCAUAAACUAUGCCGACUAGGGAUCGGACGAUGUUAUAUUUUGACUCGUCCGGCACCUUACGAGAAAUCAAAGUGCUUGGGCUCCUGGGGGAGUAUUGCCGCAAGGC
rnacentral:rRNA from 1 species